rnacentral:tRNA from 1 species
GCCCCCGUGGCGCAAUGGAUAGCGCAGUGGAUUUCUACUCCAACGGUUGCGGGUUCGACUCCUGCCGGGGGCGCCA